GAGGGUGUUAUAAGAUUUGCUAACUCUUUAACCUGGA
rnacentral:tRNA from 1 species